rnacentral:rRNA from 1 species
CCUACGGGUGGCAGCAGUGAGGAAUAUUGGUCAAUGGGCGCGAGCCUGAACCAGCCAAGUCGCGUGAGGGAAGACGGUCCUAUGGAUUGUAAACCUCUGUUGUCGGGGAGCAAAAGACGCCACGCGUGGCGUUCCGAGAGUACCCGAAGAAAAAGCAUCGGCUAACUCCGUGCCAGCAGCCGCGGUAAUACGGAGGAUGCGAGCGUUAUCCGGAUUUAUUGGGGUUAAAGGGUGCGCAGGCGGAAGAUCAAGUCAGCGGUAAAAUUGAGAGGCUCAACCUCUUCGAGCCGUUGAAACUGGUUGUCUUGAGUGAGCGAGAGGUAUGCGGAAUGCGUGGUGUAGCGGUGAAAUGCAUAGAUAUCACGCAGAACUCCGAUUGCGAAGGCAGCAUACCGGCGCUCAACUGACCCUCAUGCACGAAAGUGUGGGUAUCGAACAGGAUUAGAUACCCUGGUAGUC